UGGCAAUACGUUGGCUUCCUGCUUGA
rnacentral:piRNA from 1 species